AUUGAACGCUGGCGGCAGGCCUAACACAUGCAAGUCGAACGAGUGGCGGACGGGUGAGUAAUGUCUGGGAAACUGCCUGAUGGAGGGGGAUAACUACUGGAAACGGUAGCUAAUACCGCAUACCAUCGGAUGUGCCCAGAUGGGAUUAGCUAGUAGGUGGGGUAAAGGCUCACCUAGGCGACGAUCCCUACCUGGUCUGAGAGGAUGACAAGCAACAUGGGACCUGAGACACGGUCAAGACUCCUACGGGAGGAAGCAGUGGGGAAUAUUGCACAAGGGGCGCAAGCCUGAUGCAGCCAUGCCGCGUGUAUGAAGAAGGCCUUCGGGGUGUAAAGUACUUGCAGCGGGGAGGCGUUACCCGCAGAAGAAGCACCGGCUAACUCCGUGCCAGCCGCCGCGGUAAUAC
rnacentral:rRNA from 1 species